rnacentral:lncRNA from 1 species
AUUUAAUACUUUUAUUCCAUUAAAAUACAUUUUUUAGCUAAUUUGAAGACUUUUUUAAAAUACUUUUCAAAUGAUUUAUCUAUUAGUCUUUAACGAAUAUGUUUUGUGCAUUAUAAUUCCAUGCAGUUCAAUCACGCUCAAAGAAAGAAAGGUAGAUGGGACCAGAUAAAAUAUUUUCUUGUGAUUUUUUUAGUGAUUUUUUUUUUGCUUAAUUGAUCUAGAACAAGUAUGAACUGGCUUUACUAGGGUCAAAAUAAUCAUAAUAAUGCCCAAUGGUCCUUUUAACAUGGAAGGCAUUAAAUUGUCAGUAUUUUACACUUCCCUAUUCUCAUUGUAAAAAUAUUGAAAAAUUUAAUGUCUACCAAUGUUGAAAAUCAGUCUUGUUUUAAAAACACAGCAAACAUUUCCUUUCACAUCUGCAGUUAAGGAAGCUCGCUUGUCAUGUUUUGGAAUUUUGGUAAGAUUUUCGGAAUCCUCUGGUUUUAUCCAUUUGAAUGCCUUAACAAAAUUUGCCUGGUGACCCCCAUUUUUCUUUUUAUAAUUCUUUUACACAUAUAAUGAUAAGCUGUCUGUUAAAUUCUUAUAAAAUUUUAAUUACUUUUUAAAAGUUUUUGAGGACUUAAACUUGUCAAUGACAAAGCUAUGAAAAGUCAAGAGAGAACAUUUUCCCGCAAAAAUUUCAAUAGCUAAUAUCUCGAAAACAACCACGGUGACCUAUAUAUUUUUUUUUGCUCUUUUGAUUCCUUUAUUAAUCCCCUAUCAAUAUAUGCUAGUGUUUUGAAAAGUUAAUUACUUUGAAACUGAGAAGCCAGCUCCCUUAAAAACAAAGUGUCAAUUGUUGUCUUGAGUUUUAUUAAAUGAAAUCAUAUUUGUUUAAAUCUUGAACAGUUGUUUUCAAUGGAUGUUUGAAACAAUUCCACAUUUCUCAUAUGUUUCCAAUGACAUAUGUAAUAGACUUUUUCAUUUUUUAGUUCACCUGGCCCGAGGGGCAAAGUGAGCUUUUCUCAUCACUUUGCGUCCGGCGUAGUCCGGAGUCGUCCGUCGUCGUUAACUUUUACAAAAGUCUUCUCUGAAACAACUGGGCCAAAUUAAACCAAACUUGGCCACAGUCAUCAUUAGGGUAUUGUGUUUAAAAAUUGUGUCCGGUGACCCAGCCAACCAACCAAGAUGGCCACCAUGGCUAAAAAUAGAACAUAGGGGUAAAAUAUAGUUUUUGGCUUAUAACUCAAAAACCAAAGCAUUUAGAGCAAAUCUGACAGGAUAAAAUUGUUUAUCAGGUCAAGAUCUAUCUGCCCUGAAAUAUACAGAUGAAUCCGACAACCC